GGCCCAGUGGCGAAGUGGAAACGCGGCUGUCUGCAAAACAGCUACUGCACCAGUCCGAUUCUGGUCUGGGCCU
rnacentral:tRNA from 1 species